UGUACAAGAGAUUUAUUGGGAGAGGGUAAGCUGUAAAAAGUAAAUGGAGAGGGCAGAGUAGGGAAGAAAAGCCUUCAGAUUGUGACGAAGUUAUGAUAUCUCUGAAAGGAGAGCAGAGCUAAAUUUGUAGGAUGGGCCUCGGACUGCAACACAGUUCUGAGAAAGUCUGGCCAGGUCAAUGGGGAGUCCCUGGGCAAAUUUCCCAUGGGACUUCUAUAGAGAAGUCCCCAUCCAGCAAGAAUGGCUCCCUCUAGUAGCCUUACUAUGUGUAGUUACUGGCUGGGAGCAUCCCAGGGGAAGCACAAUCUCAAUGUGAUAGCCACAGAAGAAAUAAGUUUGGCAGCUGGAAGCUGUCAGUCAGCACUGCUUUGGGGUACAAAGUGGGACUGUGAGGCAUGAUCCCACAGGGGAAAAGGAAGCAAAAAAACAUGUUCACAUUUUCACCUUCAUAGAAUCAGAAAUUUGAGAGCACAAUUCAAGAAUAAAGGAGACAAGCAAAAAACAUGGCAGGAAAUGACCAACUGACUUUUUACAAACAGGGGUAUCUAAUAUUCAGAGUUAUAUUUUUUUUUGUGUGCUCCAAUAGAAUCCUUUGUGUCAUUGCAAGCCAUCAGUAAAAUCUUAUAUGUGUACAAACACCUCAUGGGAACAUGUGUGUGCGUGUGUGUGUUUAAGUCAAGAAAAAAGGCUCUGUUCUAUUUGUAGGUCAAUAAGAUACAAAACCAGGUGCAGUGGCUCAUGGCUAUAAUUCCAGCACUUUGGGAGAGGCCAAGGCAGGAGGAUCAUUUGAGGCAAAGACUUUGAGACCACCCUGGGCAACAUAGCAAGACUGUCUCUACAAGAAAUUAAAAAAUUAGCCAGGUGCAGUGGCACAUGCAUGUAGUCCCAGCUACUUGGGAGGUUGAGGAAGGAGGAUUGUUUGAGCCUAGGCUGCAGUGAGCUAAGAUGGUGCCAUUGCACUCUAGCCUGGGCACAGAGCAAGACCCUGUUUCAGAAAAAAAGAUACUAAACAGGGACAUUGUUGCAGGAAAAGAAAGACAAUUCAUAAAUGAAUUAAUUCUGUAGAAACAGGAGUUCCGAGCCAGAGGUGGUCACUAGAGAGCAUAGUUACCCAGGAAUUCACAGAAACCUUGGGGAGGGCAUUGGAAAUUCCAGAUUGUGCAAUGAGAGCAUUGGACCCAUUUUGUCUAGCUUUCCUGGGGUCAAUGCAGAUUGACUUCAACUACGAGGUCUUCAGGCUUAACCACUGCCAACCCAUAGAGUCAUGUAUAGAGAUGUAAAACAGUGGUAAGAAUAAAGAAGAGACACCAAGAAAUUACAUUGCUUUCCAGGGUUUUCCUCUGUCUUCUAUGCAAUUUUUAGUGCAAUUCUGCUAAUAUAUCUUUUCUCCUCCUCUGUACCUCCUUUAUAGGAUAUAAUGGUUUCAGUGGUCAAUCACAUAGAAUGCCACUCUUCAGACUGGGCUGAGAAAGUGUUAUACAUUAUUUUUUUCCCAUUCUGCAAACAAAUCCUUGUUUUUAAAUCUAACUGAUUGGCAUGGCUCUCAUAAACAACCACCUGUCUCAGACCCAGAAUGCCUUAUCUCUUCACUUAUUCCAAUUUCAACUGGUGUACUGAAGCUUUCUUCAAUUAAUAAUAACAAUAGAAAUCUUUGUAUGAAUAUCUACCUAAAUUAUUUCCCAUGUAUUAUCUUCGAAAAGACCCAGUAACGCAGGCAGGGCAAGUAUUAAUAUUGCAACCACUUAUAGAUGAGAACAUUUAAGUUUUGAGCGGACGGUAUAAAGUCAUGCUGUAAAUGGUAGAGCCAGAAUUUGAAUCCAGAUAUUUAAUGUUAAAAAGCCUCCCUUUUCCAUUAUACCGCUUUUCUAAGCCUCCUUCCACGUG
rnacentral:lncRNA from 10 species